CAACCGAAUAUAUCACUUUGAGUACAAUCUUGAUGCUGAAAAUACGAGGGAAAUAUUUGUGUCUGCAAAAAGUUUUAGAUGGAAGAACCAAGAAAACUGGUCGUUUUCUGCUUGAUUGUUCUAGCAACUGUUGUCGAUGAUCUGUUUGGUGACGCAGCUUCUGUGAGAAAGAUCGCUCUAAAUGAACCAAGGUAUAUAUUAGGCCGGAAAUUCAGCCAGGUUCAUGUUUUGACCAAUUCUGGACCGGUCUCUGCAGACUAUUGGACGUUUUACGUUCCUCCAAAAUUUGUUUUGAAUCUAGCAUUCAUUAAUUACACCGCAGAGACUUCAUCUACAAGCACGUACUGCAAAGAACAUUAUGCUUCAGUCACGGUAUUCAAUGCUGAGCAUGGGACUUCGCACACUCUGCCGCCAUAUUGCGGGCAGAGAAGAAACGGUAUAAAGGUCAACGGGACGGUGGGCAUUCACCUUGUUAAAAGUGGUUUCUCGGGAGGUAUCUCAAUGACUGUUGUCACAGAGCCUUCCACAAAGAAUUGCGGUGGCUUCUUCAGUAAUUCAUCAGUUGGGGUGCCUUUAAACUUCAAUCUUCAUGAGUUUCCAUCCAAGGAUACUCUUAUCCAUUGUACCUGGUUCUUUGAGUUUCAAACUUCACAAACGUUGAGGUUUCUCAUAUCUCGAAUGGUAUUACUUCAUGACGCAACGCCUCUAUGUUCGUAUUACAAGGAAUUUAUCGCAAUACGCUCACUAGAUGAAAGAACGGGAGAGGAGAAAAAUGUUUUUCUUCAAUGCAAACCAGGUUUUCAAACAUUACCUAUGGUUUUAUCGCAAAUUGCAAGCAGAAAAUUUGCGAUAACUGUACAUACAGAGAGAACUGUCGUAUGGAAGGUUGGGAUAGUCAAUGGUGUUUGUUUUUUUGAAACAAAAGGAAAAGAGGGUGCCCUCAUCGAAGUAUACGCUCCUGGUAAAAGACCAUUAGCUGUGACGUCACAAGCAAAUACAACUGGUUCCAUCAUUAACACUUUGUUUCUUCUGAAACCUAAAUAUUCAGGAACUCAAGUUUUCUUUGUCUUGAAUAACCUGGAGCCUGUUUGCAUUCGAGGCAAAAUAGAUGCUUGGACAAUUGUAAAUAGUUAUCUUGGCCGCGUCCCGGAUCUUUGUAAAACUCUGGAGAGCAAUGGAUUGAUGUCUGGAAAGGUUGAUACCAUGUUUACCAUACAUAUUCAUGGCGAGCUACGUCAUCUAGAAAGGGCGAUGAUAAACUAUUUCCCGACAAAUGCAGGCUGUGGAGGUGUUUUCAGUCUUGCUCAUGGCCAGAGGCAAAUUAUUGCUUCACCCAUGACAGCAUCAAGGUCAUACCCUGCAAAUACAUAUUGCCAAUGGUCUUUUGUAGCUAGCAGCAAUACUUUCCUGAAUAUAACUAUUACAUCAAUGGAUUUAGAACCUUGCUUUACUACCUUUAGUGAUUACGUCGAAAUAUUCAGUGGGUUUCGAACUCCACUGCAGCUUCAUUACAAGAUAUGUCACAUUCCGGCAACAGAUAUGAAAAUACUUGGAGAUAUGACUAUUCGCUUUUACAGUGAUGAUAUCUUGCAAAUGGAUGGCUUCGUCAUGAUAGUGACAGCAUAUAAUGGUGGAGAGAGCACAACGAGAAUCCCAGAUGUUACUUCUAUGGUCACAAACGAAGUCCCCAGACCUUCAACUUCUGUCACAACAGUCAUCAAAACUGAAUUUACGAAGUUUUCCUCUAAAAAGACUACGAAAACCAAAAAGCCCUGCUGCAAGAGCACGUCAAGCCUGACAAAUUCUAUAGCAAGUAGAAAACAUCGUCGUCAAUCAACAACGGCUGUCGUCAAAAAAAAGACUGUUAAUGGUAGGGUGGCAUUGUCCAGUAAUAAUCUUAAUACCAUCAGUAUAGCAUUUGGAGCCGGAGCUGUGAUCAUUGUGGUUAUCAUCAUCAUCUUGCUAAAACGAAGGAAAAGGGCAAAUCCUUCUUACUCGAAAUCCAACAACACUUCAUCCAACAAUUUUGAUACAGACACAGGAAGUCGCAUUAUUCAUAGGGAUAAAAAGUCUUUUUGUGAACAAUAUCCAUUGGAAAAUAUUUACAGCAAUCCUUCAGAUGAAAGCGCAAAAGUUGCGGAAAAACCACCAGACGUCAUCUACGCUAACACGAUGUCCUGUUUGCCGGCUAUAAAUCGAAGCCCAGAGUCUGGUGGUGCCAUUGUUUACGAAACGAUGAAUGCACAACCAAUCAAAGAAUCUGAACAGAUACCGGACCAGUAUAUUUGUCCGGAUUCUCAGCAAAACAAGUCCGGUGAUAAUCAGACUUGCAUUGUCAGCGUUACAGCAAACCCUACUUGUGAAGGAGGUGAAUACCAAAGUACAAUCACAUACGAGGCCAUGAAUGGACUGGAGGUUCCUCGAUCAUCAUCUAACAACAUUAACAGUGGUGUAUACGUCAACCCUAGCAAGCUAUGAACCAUGAUAACAUUUAAAUUUUACGUCUAAUCGGCACAAAUUUCUUAACAACUUUGAGUUGCAUUAUGUAUAAACAAAUCUACUGUACAGAAUCUGUAAUGAAUAUACAAUAUUCAUUAGCUAUUAAGAAGAUGCUAGAAAAUCUUGUUGCUCCCGUUGGCUGCACUGUACCUCGUGUAACAAUAUUUGUCAACGGUACCAAGGACCGCUAUUUGAACGCUUUUUUAGCAAAGAUUCAUAAUUAGCAAUGACUUUUUUACUUUUAACCACAUAACCUAAAAGAACACCAUGAAAUUCCUCUGAUAGUGCAAAAAUAAGUUAAUUUGUUGAAAAAUGAUGAAUUGCGAGGUGAUUGGGUGAAUUUGGGUAACUAGGGGCCAAGGGCUAAUUAAGGUCUUAUACAAAAAAAUUGCAAAAAGCUGUAUUGUUUUGCAAAACAGUGUGGGGGCGGGGGCAUGUCACCUGCCCCCCAUUGUCAGAGACCCUGCACUGUUGAAGCUUUGUAACUACUUUCAUAUGAAAUGGAUGCUCAAUAUAAAAAGUUACCUGUUUUAAAUAGUAUUGAAGUUAGCUGUCUGUUGACUUGAACUAAGGAGAUAAUCCCACCAUGGAAAAUUCGUACAGGAUUGGUAGAAAUCCUAUUAUUUUGUCUAACGAUACCUAGAGUUCCUUUUGUUUCGGUGGGAAUCUCGUACGCUAUUUGCAAGAGUGAAUUGCCCCUCAACUUGGAGUAGGUAGAGUCAUUUAAAGAUGACGGAAAUACAGAUAAGCUACAAGCGAUACUUGCACUUGAUUUUUAGUAUGCAAUUAAGUAUACAAAAAACAUUGCUUAUGAAUCACAGCAGAACAAUACAAUCAUGUAGCGAGAAUGGAAAACGAAAUUCUAUCACAUGAGCAUAAACUAGGCCAGUUUAAGCCUUUCAAAUUCAUGUUUACAUAUUUUCCGUCCCAUUGUAUUAGGAAAUUUAUCAAAAAACCUGUAUUUUCUAGGCUUUUGACCUUUUUUGUUUCAUAGACAAAGAUCAACUUUUUUUCUUUCUUACGUAAAUACUGGAGGGGUAUGGGGGGGUGUGACACCCCCAAUCUUUCAUCCAGUCGGAAAUUUGAGGACCGUCGGAAAAUUUAAAGCUGUUGGUAGAAAGCUAGGUUAAUCGGAAAAAAUUUGAAUCAUUUGUUAAGUUUGAAGUUUUGACUCAAAUGACCUUGUGGACUGUAGCUCAAAGAGAAGCAUAAGAAAGGUAUAAGUUCAAAGGAAAACAGUUGUUUGGUAAAAAGCAGGCAGAAUGAGAGGCUACGCAAUACAGAAACAACGUUUUGUAUGAAAAUGCAAGUAUUUUCAACUACAUUCGUCGUAUUGGGGAUAGUGUGAUAAUCGUUCCAGCAAAUUGCUUCUAAAAACGGGAUACGAAAUAGAAUUUUUUAAAUAAUAUUUAACAGUAAUGCUUAAAGAAGCGCAGUACAUUUCCAAUGACUUGUCAAGAACUUUCUCCGUUCGAGAUCGACCGAUGUAACAUAGGCGGCACCAGGUGGAGAGCUGGGGGCUUCAGCCCCCCCACCAACCACUUUUUUGCAAAAAUGUAUUUUAAGCAAAUAAAAUGGGGAAAGGAAAAAGUAUAAAGAAAAGAAUCAUCCGAUAAAUCCUUUAGUGGCUUAAAUUCCAAGGAAUACGCCGAGGUAUAUGGGACCUCAUAAAGCAAUGAAUUCAACUUUAAGACUGGAAUUAAUCAAACAUAAUAAGAGCAUGCCUUAAAAGUAACAAAACGUUUUAAAGGAUUGCAAGAAAAUACCUGCAAGAAAUAUUCUGAAAUGUAUUUUAAGCUAGUCUAAAAGGAGUGGUUGUGAAAGUUGUCUGCUUGCUUCGCUCGCAGGGAAGCCACUCCUGACGAAUAUCCCUAAGGCCUCCGCUACCCUCCCGCUGGCCCCCUUUCUAGAAGGAGAAAAAUUAACACCUGAUUUUUGGACUACGUAUGUUUUAAUGCAUUAAUUAAACUAACAGUCUUUAUGCUCGAUCUUCCAAAUUUACGAAAUCUAGAAACUUUAUCAUACAGCUGAAUAAUUAUUUACGAGACAAUUUAUAAGGUUUUGUUGGUAAAAAAAUAUUAAAGUUUACGCCCUCAUACAAAAUUAGAAUUGACCUUUGUCAGUCAGAAAUUUUGAGCCCUUCACCCCCCAAAAAAUAUCUGCCAAUUUUCGUCCCUGACCCGAGCCAGCCUUAAACCCUAAGAAUGCAGGUGACAAAAAUAAACAGAGAUGCUCAAAACACAAGAAAUAUGCGCAGCGUGAUUCAAUGCCAAAAAUCCUCUUGGAUAAGAGCCUCAUUAUCCAAAUCUUUCAGGUUUCUACCGUGAUCAGAAGCAGAAAAGGGUUUUGUCAAUUACAAGUUUUUGUUCUUCGUCAAAGUUCUAGCUAUCUACUUCUCGUGAGGGUUAAAGGGUAGUUUGCAAUGCCUUUGAAAUAUCCCUUCAAAUAGAAGUUGAUUGAAAGUGAAAAUGGGCAGAUUGUUUUGGAAAUGACAGUUUUGCUUUCAUCUUACUGUAGUUGUUUUUUGCAAAAUUCAGUCAUAUUUGUAUAUUUUAUUCCUAUCAAUUAUUGAUUAAAUUCACAGAAAAAGAAAAUCUUUGAACACCCACUAUUGUUCUCUGCCGCCAACUUCAUGAUUACCUAGGAAACAUCCCUUUCUUUUACAUUGAUCUGUUUAGUAGACGGUCUUUCUCUGUGAUUAUUUUUCUUAGAAUAAUGUAACAAAAUUUGUAAACUUGAUCAUGUCAUUUUGAUUGUUUUCUGUUUUUUGAUACUUUUCUGGUUAUUUUCCAUCAUUUUAGAAAUGAAUGUGAUUCCCUUCUUUAAUUGCUUAAUCAAGCCAUUGUUUGAAGAUAUCUAAUGUCAAUAGCGUCAGGAAGUCCUUGAGAAAUAUGACAAGCAACUCAAAGGAUGUCCUGCGUCCUGCGUUAUCUUUUCACGAACACGGAAGUAAAUAGAGACAAAACGAAGGUUGUUUUGGCUUCAGAGCUCCUGCGGUCAUGCAUGCAACGAAAGGCUAGACUAAAGAAAAGAUUUCUUCACCUAUUCAGUUUAUGAACCUUUUGAUUCGGAAUGCUUUAUCAACAUGAAGAUAUCUGCCAUAUUGUCAACCGCAAAAUGACAAUAUUUCUCCUCAUUAUAUCAAGCAUUGUUACGGGUACGUUUAGUGCUGCAACCUGUGGGGAAAAUAUCACUGCCAGGGUGCCACGAUACAACGUUGGUGAACAAUUUGGUGAAAUAUACGUGAUUUCGUCGCCUACUGCAUCGAAUGUGACAUAUUGCAAAUGGACAUUCUCAA